rnacentral:lncRNA from 1 species
UGAACGCACACAUCACAGAGCAGUUUCUGAGAAUGAUUCUGUCUAGUUUUUAUAGGAAAAUAUUUCCUUUUCUGCUUUUGGCCUCAAAGCGCUUGAAAUCUCCACUUGCAAAUUCCACAAAAAGAGAGUUUCAAAUCUACUCUUUCUAAAGGAAGUUUCAACUCCGUCAGUUGAAAACACACAACACAAAGAAGUUACUAAGAAUUCUUCCCUCUAGCAUUAUAUGAAGAAAUCCCGUUUCCAACGAAGGCAUCUAAGAGGUCCAAAUAUCCACUUGCAGACUUUACAAACAGAGGGUUUCCAGAAUGCUGUGUGAAAAGAAAGGUUAAAGUCUGUGAGUUAAACAC